rnacentral:rRNA from 1 species
CACGUAGGGGGCAAGCGUUGUCCGGAUUUCUUGGGCGUAAAGAGCUCGUAGGCUGCUCAGUAAGUCGGGUGUGAAACCUCCAGGCUCAACCUGGAGACGCCACCCGAUACUGCUGUGGCUUGAGUCCGGUAGGGGAGCGUGGAAUUCCUGGUGUAGCGGUGAAAUGCGUAGAUAUUCGGAAGAACACCAGUGGCGAAGGCGGCUCACUGGCCCGGUACUGACGCUGAGGUGCGAAAGCGUGGGGAGCAAACAGG